rnacentral:rRNA from 1 species
UCCUAGCCUUAUUAUCAGCUCUUCCUAAACUUACACAUGCAAGUCUCAGCACACCCGUGAGGACGCCCUUUCUCCUACAAGGACAAGGAGCUGGUAUCAGGCACAGCCCAUUACACCUAGUCCCGCCACGCCCUCAAGGGUUCUCAGCAGUGAUAAAUAUUGUCUAUAAGCGACAGCUUGACCCAGUUAUUGGAAGAUAGAGCUGGCCAACUCGGUGCCAGCCGCCGCGGCUGAGCUCAAGUUGAUAAACAUCGGUAAGCGUGAUUAAAGGAUCCCCCAAUUAGAAUAAAACUUAUAUUUUAGCUGUAAUAAAACGAAAGUUAUUCUAAUCUUGAACCCACGACAGUCGGGAAACAAACUGGGAUUAGAUACCCCACUAU